AUUGAACGCUGGCGGCAGGCCUAACACAUGCAAGUCGAACGAGUGGCGGACGGGGGAGGAAGGGCUGGGAAACUGCCUGAUGGAGGGGGAUAACUACUGGAAACGGUAGCUAAUAAAGCAGACCAUCGGAUGGGCCCAGAUGGGAUUAGCUAGUAGGUGGGGUAAAGGCUCACCUAGGCGACGAACCCUAGCUGGUCUGAGAGGAUUACCAGCCACACUGGAACAGAGAAACGGUCCAGACUCCUACGGGAGGCAGCAGUGGGGAAUAUUGCACAAUGGGCGCAAGCCUGAUGCAGCCAUGCCGCGUGUAUGAAGAAGGCCUUCGGGUUGUAAAGUACUUUCAGCGCCGAGGCGUUACCCGCAGAAGCUGCACCGGCUAACUCCGUGCCAGCAGCCGCGGUCCUUC
rnacentral:rRNA from 1 species